rnacentral:rRNA from 1 species
AUUGAACGCUGGCGGCAGGCCUAACACAUGCAAGUCGAGCGGAUGAAGGGAGCUUGCUCCUGGAUUCAGCGGCGGACGGGUGAGUAAUGCCUAGGAAUCUGCCUGGUAGUGGGGGAUAACGUCCGGAAACGGGCGCUAAUACCGCAUACGUCCUGAGGGAGAAAGGGGGGGAUCUUCGGACCUCACGCUAUCAGAUGAGCCUAGGUCGGAUUAGCUAGUUGGUGGGGUAAAGGCUUACCAAGGCGACGAUCCGUAACUGGUCUGAGAGGAUGAUCAGUCACACUGGAACUGAGACACGGUCCAGACUCCUACGGGAGGCAGCAGUGGGGAAUAUUGGACAAUGGGCGAAAGCCUGAUCCAGCCAUGCCGCGUGUGUGAAGAAGGUCUUCGGAUUGUAAAGCACUUUAAGUUGGGAGGAAGGGCAGUAAGUUAAUCCCUUGCUGUUUUGACGUUACCAACAGAAUAAGCACCGGCUAACUUCGUG